rnacentral:rRNA from 1 species
UGGCUCAGAGUGAACGCUGGCGGCAGGCCUAACACAUGCAAGUCGAGCGGCAGCGCGGGGGCAACCCUGGCGGCGAGCGGCGGACGGGUGAGGAAUACAUCGGAAUCUGCCUUGUUGUGGGGGAUAACGUAGGGAAACUUACGCUAAUACCGCAUGAGACCGUAAGGUGAAAGUGGGGGAUCGCAAGACCUCACGCGACAAGAUGAGCCGAUGUCGGAUUAGCUAGUUGGUGAGGUAAAGGCUCACCAAGGCAACGAUCCGUAGCUGGUCUGAGAGGAUGAUCAGCCACACUGGGACUGAGACACGGCCCAGACUCCUACGGGAGGCAGCAGUGGGGAAUAUUGGACAAUGGGCGCAAGCCUGAUCCAGCCAUGCCGCGUGUGUGAAGAAGGCCUUCGGGUUGUAAAGCACUUUUGUUGGGAAAGAAAUCCUGUCGAUUAAUACUCGGCGGGGAUGACGGUACCCAAAGAAUAAGCACCGGCUAACUUCGUG